CUUGGCCUGGCCAGAGUCACUAAAUGGCCUCUUUGGGACUUCGCAGCGCCGUCCAGCCCCUCCUCCGUCCUUUGUCCUGCGACUCUGCAGGCGGGCUUUGCCCGGCCAAGUCAGGCGGCGCGAGGCGCUCUGCGGGCCCUGGGUGCUACUUGUUGCAUUUCUGUAGAAAACUGUUUCUCUUGGUGCGCGUCGGGGGGCAAGGGGAGGGAGCAAGAACCGGCGCUUUUUGUUUGCAGCAGAGUCCGGAGAGCUGGAUUCCCUGGCGCGGAUUCUCCCCGCCGAGUGGAUUCCCCUGCUGCAGGCGGGAGCCCUUCCAAGAGCUUCUCUGGGCGCGGCUUGGCAGCGGAGCCCCGGCGGCUCGGCCCCCGCAGCUAGCACCUCCUCGCUCGCGGUCCCGGAUGGGGAGCGCGGCCCCGGUGCAACAGCUCGGGGAGCACGCGGGCUGCGUCCGGAAGGGACCCGAGUCUGCGAGCAAAGAGCAAACCGGGCGGAAAUUCGUUCUUCCCACACUCUGCCCGCGGGGACGCAGGCGGAGAAAGAGGAGACAGCGGAGGGAGGACAGACCCCGGCAGGGGGAGGAGGAAACGCUAAGUGGCUCCACGUCUGGUCAGCCCGAGCCCGGGAUGCCAAGUGAGAAAAGUGCCACCCUGUGGGAAGUUUGGGCAGCACGGAGGCCGCCAGCGUUCUGCAGGAAGUUUGGAGAGCACAAGGUUGCCUGCAGAAGGCCGUAAGAUUAGAAGGGAUUUCAGCAGGCAGCUGAUGUAAUCGUACUUGCACUGCAACCUCAAGAGGAAUCUCUGCCUAAAUAAAGUAGGCGGAAGUAUACCAUGUACUCUUCUCUACCUUGAUAUUUUUUACUUGAGUCAUUUUGGAGGUGCUUCCAUAUCAGCACAUGUACAUCACCUCAUCUUCAAUGCUGUGUAGUAUUCCAAGUAUGGAUUCAACCACUGCUAUCAAUAUACAUUUAAAUGUUUUUCCUGGUUUUUACAAUCUUAUAAUUAAGUGAUGUUGUCAUAAAUAACAUGUAGAUAUGUCUUUGCAUUUCAGCGCUAGUAUAUCUGUAGAAUAGAAUAUCAGAAAUAAAAAUGCUAUUCCAAAGAA